ensembl:snoRNA
GGUCCCCUGAUGCUUACCACAGGCUCUGUUCUUACACUGACUGUAUAGCAAGAGGAGGCAGAGUAAGUCUACCCCAUGUAUACCUCAGCCCAGUGCCUGGUCUGCAUUGUGAAUGGGGAAAUAUGG